rnacentral:rRNA from 1 species
AACGAACGCUGGCGGCGUGCCUAACACAUGCAAGUCGUGCGAGAAAGUUCCUUCGGGAGCGAGUAAAGCGGCGCACGGGUGAGUAACACGUAGGUAACCUGCCCCCCAGUCUGGAACAACUAGAGGAAACUCUAGCUAAUGCCGGAUGAGACCACGAUCCCUUCGGGGGUUGCGGCCAAAGAUGGCCUCUACUUGUAAGCUAUCGCUGAGGGAUGGGCCUGCGGGCCAUUAGCUUGUUGGUGAGGUAACGGCUCACCAAGGCUGUGAUGGCUAGCUGGUCUGAGAGGAUGACCAGCCACACUGGGACUGAGACACGGCCCAGACUCCUACGGGAGGCAGCAGUGGGGAAUAUUGCGCGAUGGGCGAAAGCCUGACGCAGCGACGCCGCGUGGGUGAUGAAGGCCUGGUCGUAA